GAGGGACUAUCGGCUCAAGCCGAUGGAAGUUUGAGGCAAUAACAGGUCUGUGAUGCCCUUAGAUAUCCUGGGCCGCACGCGCGCUACACUGACAGAGCCAACGAGUUUAGUCCUUGACCGGAAGGUCUG
rnacentral:rRNA from 1 species